UGGGGAAUUUUGGACAAUGGGCGAAAGCCUGAUCCAGCCAUGCCGCGUGCAGGAUGAAGGCCUUCGGGUUGUAAACUGCUUUUGUACGGAACGAAAGGACUCUGGUUAAUACCUGGGGUCCAUGACGGUACCGUAAGAAUAAGCACCGGCUAACUACGUGCCAGCAGCCGCGGUAAUACGUAGGGUGCAAGCGUUAAUCGGAAUUACUGGGCGUAAAGCGUGCGCAGGCGGUUAUAUAAGACAGAUGUGAAAUCCCCGGGCUCAACCUGGGAACUGCAUUUGUGACUGUAUAGCUAGAGUACGGCAGAGGGGGGAUGGAAUUCCGCGUGUAGCAGUGAAAUGCGUAGAUAUGCGGAGGAACACCGAUGGCGAAGGCAAUCCCCUGGGCCUGUACUGACGCUCAUGCACGAAAGCGUGGGGAGCAAAACAGGAUUAGAUACCCUGGUAGUCCACGCCCUAAACGAUGUCAACUGGUUGUUGGGUCUUCACUGACUCAGUAACGAAGCUAACGCGUGAAGUUGACCGCCUGGGGAGUACGGCCGCAAGGUUGAAACUCAAAUGAAUUGACGGGGGUCAUAGCU
rnacentral:rRNA from 1 species